AACAUACUCCCACCGUCCGGAAAUACUUGUCGGAGAAAUGAAUAAAAAUCUAGAACUAAAAUAUGUCUAGAUACAUCCAUUUCUCCGACAAGUAUUUCCGGAUGCAGGGAGUAUUAU
rfam:Triticum aestivum genome assembly, contig: Triticum_aestivum_CS42_TGACv1_scaffold_342953_4DL